rnacentral:rRNA from 1 species
UACGUAGGGAGCAAGCGUUGUUCGGAUUUACUGGGCGUAAAGGGCGCGUAGGCGGCUAAUUAAGUCAGCUGUGAAAUCUCCGAGCUUAACUCGGAACGGUCAGCUGAUACUGAUCUGCUAGAGUGCGGAAGGGGCAAUCGGAAUUCCAGGUGUAGCGGUGAAAUGCGUAGAUAUCUGGAGGAACACCGGUGGCGAAGGCGGCAUCCUGGACCGGCAUUGACGCUGAGGCGCGAAAGCCAGGGGAGCAAACGGG